GCGCGCAGCCUCGGUUCCCGCCCGUGCCUCUCCCUCCACACCUCCCCGCAACUGAGGGAGCCGGCUCCGGCCUCGGCCAGCCCAGAAAGGGGCUCACACAGUGCAGGGCCGGGCUGAAGGGCUCCUUAAGGGCGGCCAGAGUUGGCGCCAAGGCUGAGGAGGUGCCCAGAGCGAGCGAGGGCUGCCAGGGCUGCUAGCAGGCUGUCACCUCUCAAUAGCAGUUUUGUAUAUGGGAUCUAGCCCCUCCCUAAGAGGUUGAUUCUAAGGAAGCCAACAGCCGUGUUGUGAGUACCCAAUGGAAAGUCUGUUGUGGCAGAAAACUGAUGUCUCCAGCCAACAGCACUGAGGCCCUGAGACCUGCCAACUGUCAUGUUACAUCUCAAGGAGAAGGAUUGCCAGAUCAAAAGUCUUGCAGUUAACCAGGCGUGGUGGCAGAUACCUGUAAUCCCAGCUAUUCGGGAGGCUGAGGCAGGAGAAUCGCUUGUACCCGGGAGGCAGAGGUUGCAGUGAGCUGAGACCGCGCCAUUGACUCCUGCCUGAUGACAAGAGAGAAUCUACGUCUCAACAACAACAACACGCUUGGGCACUGUAUUAACUCCAUAAUCGGUUUAUUCAUAAUGCUGCAUCAUCCAACCAUCAUCCAACCUAUUUAUCAUUCACAAUGCCACCUGUGAAUACUGGCUUCCAUUGACUCUUUCAAGAAUUGCUACUGGGCCUCACCAAUGUUGACCACAAAUGCAAGUCAUACUGAGAGUAUGUAGUACAUGUGAAUAAUAAUUAGUUUUCUUGUCAUAUUAAACAUAUCAUUCAUACUAGUAUGAACAUAGAGAAA
rnacentral:lncRNA from 1 species